rnacentral:rRNA from 1 species
GCAGCGGCCAUAGCGGUGGGGCGACACCCGUACCCAUUCCGAACACGGAAGUUAAGCCCACCAGCGUACCGGGAAGUACUGGAGUGAGCGAUCCUCUGGGAAGCGGGGUUCGCCGCCUGCC